UGCAGUCGAGCGGAACGAGUUAUCUGAACCUUCGGGGAACGAUAACGGCGUCGAGCGGCGGACGGGUGAGUAAUGCCUAGGAAAUUGCCCUGAUGUGGGGGAUAACCAUUGGAAACGAUGGCUAAUACCGCAUGAUGCCUACGGGCCAAAGAGGGGGACCUUCGGGCCUCUCGCGUCAGGAUAUGCCUAGGUGGGAUUAGCUAGUUGGUGAGGUAAGGGCUCACCAAGGCGACGAUCCCUAGCUGGUCUGAGAGGAUGAUCAGCCACACUGGAACUGAGACACGGUCCAGACUCCUACGGGAGGCAGCAGUGGGGAAUAUUGCACAAUGGGCGCAAGCCUGAUGCAGCCAUGCCGCGUGUGUGAAGAAGGCCUUCGGGUUGUAAAGCACUUUCAGUCGUGAGGAAGGUGGUGUAGUUAAUAGCUGCAUCAUUUGACGUUAGCGACAGAAGAAGCACCGGCUAACUCCGUGCCAGCAGCCGCGGUAAUACGGAGGGUGCGAGCGUUAAUCGGAAUUACUGGGCGUAAAGCGCAUGCAGGUGGUUUGUUAAGUCAGAUGUGAAAGCCCGGGGCUCAACCUCGGAAUAGCAUUUGAAACUGGCAGACUAGAGUACUGUAGAGGGGGGUAGAAUUUCAGGUGUAGCGGUGAAAUGCGUAGAGAUCUGAAGGAAUACCGGUGGCGAAGGGCGGCCCCCUGGACAGAUACUGACACUCAGAUGCGAAAGCGUGGGGAGCAACAGGAUUAGAUACCCUGGUAGUCCACGCCGUAAACGAUGUCUACUUGGGAGGUUGUGGCCUUGAGCCGUGGCUUUCGGAGCUAACGCGUUAAGUAGACCGCCCUGGGGAGUACGGUCGCAGAUUA
rnacentral:rRNA from 1 species